GAUGAACGCUGGCGGCGUGCCUAAUACAUGCAAGUCGAGCGAACGGACGAGAAGCUUGCUUCUCUUAUUUUAGCGGCGGACGGGUGAGUAACACGUGGAUAACCUACCUAUAAGACUGGGAUAACUUCGUGAAACCGUAGCUAAUACCGGAUAAUAUUUUGAACCGCAUGGUUCAAAAGUUAAAGACGGUCUUGCUGUCACUUAUAGAUGGAUCCGCGCUGCAUUAGCUAGUUGGUAAGGUAACGGCUUACCAAGGCAACGAUGCAUAGCCGACCUGAGAGGGUGAUCGGCCACACUGGAACUGAGACACGGUCCAGACUCCUACGGGAGGCAGCAGUAGGGAAUCUUCCGCAAUGGGCGAAAGCCUGACGGAGCAACGCCGCGUGAGUGAUGAAGGUCUUCGGAUCGUAAAACUCUGUUAUUAGGGAAGAACAUAUGUGUAAGUAACUGUGCACAUCUUGACGGUACCUAAUCAGAAAGCCACGGCUAACUACGUG
rnacentral:rRNA from 1 species